GAUGAACGCUGGCGGCGUGCUUAACACAUGCAAGUCGAACGGAGUGCUCAUGACGGAGGAUUCGUCCAACGGAUUGAGUUACUUAGUGGCGGACGGGUGAGUAACGCGUGAGGAACCUGCCUCGGAGUGGGGAAUAACAGACCGAAAGGCCUGCUAAUACCGCAUGAUACAGUUGGGUCGCAUGACUCUGACUGUCAAAGAUUUAUCGCUCUGAGAUGGCCUCGCGUCUGAUUAGCUGGUUGGCGGGGUAACGGCCCACCAAGGCGACGAUCAGUAGCCGGUCUGAGAGGAUGAACGGCCACAUUGGGACUGAGACACGGCCCAG
rnacentral:rRNA from 1 species